rnacentral:rRNA from 1 species
CCUACGGGGAGCAGCAGUAGGGAAUCUUUCACAAUGGGCGAAAGCCUGAUGGAGCAACGCCGCGUGCAGGAUGAAGGCCUUCGGGUUGUAAACUGCUUUUAUAAGCGAGAAAUAUGAUGGUAACUUAUGAAUAAGGAUCGGCUAACUACGUGCCAGCAGCCGCGGUCAUACGUAGGAUCCGAGCAUUAUCCGGAGUGACUGGGUGUAAAGAGUUGCGUAGGUGGGAUAAUAAGUAGCUAGUGAAAUCUGGUGGCUCAACCAUUCAGACUAUUAGCUAAACUGUUAAGCUCGAGACCGUUAGAGGUAACUGGAAUUUCUAGUGUAGGAGUGAAAUGCGUAGAGAUUAGAAGGAACACCAAUAGCGUAGGCAGGUUACUGGGACGGUUCUGACACUAAGGCACGAAAGCGUAGGGAGCAAACGGGAUUAGAUACCCGAGUAGUC